GUCUACGGCCAUACCGCCCUGAACACGCCCGAUCUCGUCUGAUCUUGGAAGCUAAGCAGGGUCGGGCCUGGUUAGUACUUGGAUGGGAGUUCCUCUUUCUGCACAUC
rnacentral:rRNA from 1 species